ACGAACGCUGGCGGCGUGCUUAACACCUGCAAGUCGAACGGAAAGGCCCUGCUUUUGUGGGGUGCUCGAGUGGCGAACGGGUGAGUAACACGUGAGUAACCUGCCCUUGACUUUGGGAUAACUUCAGGAAACUGGGGCUAAUACCGGAUAGGAGCUCCUGCUGCAUGGUGGGGGUUGGAAAGUUUCGGCGGUUGGGGAUGGACUCGCGGCUUAUCAGCUUGUUGGUGGGGUAGUGGCUUACCAAGGCUUUGACGGGUAGCCGGCCUGAGAGGGUGACCGGCCACAUUGGGACUGAGAUACGGCCCAGACUCCUACGGGAGGCAGCAGUGGGGAAUAUUGCACAAUGGGCGGAAGCCUGAUGCAGCAACGCCGCGUGCGGGGUGACGGCCUUCGGGUUGUAAACCGCUUUCGCCUGUGACGAAGCGUGAGUGACGGUAAUGGGUAAAGAAGCACCGGCUAACUACGUG
rnacentral:rRNA from 1 species